rnacentral:rRNA from 1 species
AUACGGAGGGGGCUAGCGUUGUUCGGAAUUACUGGGCGUAAAGCGCGUGUAGGCGGAUCGUUAAGUCAGGGGUGAAAGCCCGGGGCUCAACCCCGGAACUGCCCUUGAUACUGGCGAUCUAGAGUCCGGAAGAGGUGGGCGGAAUUCCCGGUGUAGAGGUGAAAUUCGUAGAUAGCGGGAGGAACACCAGUGGCGAAGGCGGCUCACUGGUCCGGCACUGACGCUGAGACGCGAAAGCGUGGGGAGCAAACAGGAUUAGAAACCCUAGUAGUCC